rnacentral:rRNA from 1 species
GGACCUGCCCUGAGACUUAAACGGCCGCGGUACUCUGACCGUGCAAAGGUAGCAUAAUAAUUUGCCUUAUAAUUGAAGGCUGGAAUGAAUGGUUUGACAAGAAUACAUCUGUCUCUUAUUGAUUAUCCAGAAUUUUAUUUUUGGAUGAAAAAGUCCAGACUAUAUUAAAAGACAAGAAGACCCUAUCGAGCUUUAGAGAAAUUAGUGGACUUAAUAAAAGUCAAUAUAAGUAAAAGAAAAGCCAUUAAGUACUUUGGUUGGGGCAACCGAGGAGCAAACAAAGCCUCCUUUAACUUUUAAAUCAUACUUGUGUUGAUCCAAAGAUUUUGAUCAAAGGAAUUAGUUACCGUAGGGAUAACAGCAUUAUCUUUUUCAAGAGCCCAUAUCGAAAAAAAGGUUUGUGACCUCGAUCUUGGACCAGAAUGUCCUAAAGAUGCAGAAGUCUUUAAGGGUUGGUUGUUCGACCAUUAAAAUU